AGCGAACGCUGGCGGCAGGCCUAACACAUGCAAGUCGAGCGGGCACCGCAAGGUGUCAGCGGCAGACGGGAGAGUAACACGUGGGAACGUGCCCUUUGGUUCGGAACAACUCCGGGAAACUGGAGCUAAUACCGGAUAAGCCCUUACGGGGAAAGAUUUAUCGCCAAAGGAGCGGCCCGCGUCCGAUUAGCUAGUUGGUGAGGUAAUGGCUCACCAAGGCGACGAUCGGUAGCUGGUCUAAGAGGAUGAUCAGCCUCACUGGGACUGAGACACGGCCCAGACUCCUACGGGAGGCAGCAGUGGGGAAUAUUGGACAAUGGGCGCAAGCCUGAUCCAGCCAUGCCGCGUGGAUGAUGAAGGCCUUAGGGUUGUAAAGUCCUUUUAACGGGGAAGAUAAUGACGGUACCCGUAGAAUAAGCCCCGGCUAACUUCGUGCCAGCAGCCGCCGUAAU
rnacentral:rRNA from 1 species